UCCGUAGGUGAACCUGCGGAGGGAUCAUUACCGAGUUUACAACUCCCAAACCCCUGUGAACAUACCAUUUGUUGCCUCGGCGGUGCCUGCUUCGGCAGCCCGCCAGAGGACCCAAACCCUUGAUUUUAUACAGUAUCUUCUGAGUAAAUGAUUAAAUAAAUCAAAACUUUCAACAACGGAUCUCUUGGUUCUGGCAUCGAUGAAGAACGCAGCGAAAUGCGAUAAGUAAUGUGAAUUGCAGAAUUCAGUGAAUCAUCGAAUCUUUGAACGCACAUUGCGCCCGCCAGUAUUCUGGCGGGCAUGCCUGUUCGAGCGUCAUUUCAACCCUCAAGCCCCCGGGCUUGGUGUUGGAGAUCGGCGUGCCCUCCGGGGCGCGCCGGCUCCCAAAUAUAGUGGCGGUCUCGCUGUAGCUUCCUCUGCGUAGUAGCACACCUCGCACUGGGAAACAGCGUGGCCACGCCGUUAAACCCCCCACUUCUGAAAGGUUGACCUCGGAUCAGGUAGGAAUACCCGCUGAACUUAAGCAUAUCA
rnacentral:rRNA from 1 species